AUUUAAUAAAUUAUUAUAUUUGUUUGUUUUUUUUGUUUUAGAAUAAAUAAGUUUUUUUUAUUAAUUUUUUUGAACUAAUCGUUAUUAUUAUAGAUAAUUAGUACUGUGAGGGAAUUUUUUAAAAUUUUUUAAAGAAAAAUUUAUUUUUUGUACCUUGUGUAUCAGGGUUGAUUUAUUAAUAAUAUUUAUUUAUAGUUCUCGAAUUUAGGAGAGCUAUUUUAUUAUUAUUUUAUUGUGAAAUAAAUAUUUAUAAUAAUAAGAUUGUAAUGAAACGUUAUUCGUUCCUAACUAUAUCUAGUUUUUUAAGAAAAAAAUUUAAUUUGUUUAUUAAUAAAAUUGUCUAUUUUAUUAGUUUAUUUUUGUUAAUAGGUUAUAUUCUGUGGGAUAAGCUUUGGGAUAAAUUUUUAUAAGUAAUUUAGUUGUUCAGUAAAUUAGGAUUAGAAGUUUUCAUAUUUAUAAGGGUGUUAUAACUUUUCUGGGUUUAUUAUUAUUAUUUAUAUUUACUUUAAUUUUUUUAUUAAAAUUGAAAAUUUAAUUUUAUCUUUUAGGUAAUAAUGAUUAAAUUAGUAUAUUUUAUAGUUUGUUUUUAGUUAAUUUUUAGGUUAAGAAAAGGAAUUCGGCAAUAAAUUUUUCACCUGUUUAUUAAAAACAUGGCCUAUUGAUUAUAAUUUUAGGUCUAGCCUGCCCGCUGAAGAUUUAAAUGGCCGCGGUACUCUGACCGUGCAAAGGUAGCAUAAUAAUUAGUUUUUUAAUUGAAAGCUGGAAUGAAUGGUUGGAUGAGAAAAUAACUGUCUCUUUUUAAUUGGGUUAGAAUUUUAUUUUUAAGUAAAAAAGCUUAAAUUUUAUUGAAAGACGAGAAGACCCUAUAGAGUUUUAUAUAACUUUUUAUUUAUUUUAUUUUGGGAUUUUUAAGAGUAAAUGAAAAUUUAUAUUUGAUUGGGGUGAUUGAAAAAUUAAUUUAACUUUUUCUUUAUUUUAACAUUAAUGAAUGAAUUGUUGAUCCAAUUAUUUUGAUUAUAAGAUUAAAUUACCUUAGGGAUAACAGCGUAAUCUUUUUUGAGAGUUCUUAUCGAAAAAAGGGGUUGCGACCUCGAUGUUGGAUUAAAAUUAAAUUUUGGUGCAGAAGCUGAAACUUUAGGUCUGUUCGACCUUUAAAAUUUUACAUGAUCUGAGUUUAAACCGGCGUGAGCCAGGUUGGUUUCUAUCUUUAAUUAAAUAAAAUAUUUUAGUACGAGAGGACCAAAUAUUUAAUAAUUUAUUUAAAAUUGAUUAUUAGU
rnacentral:rRNA from 1 species